GGAGGAAAAGAAACUAACUAGGAUUCCCUUAGUAACGGCGAGUGAACCGGGAUGAGCUCAAAUUUAAAAUCUGGCGUCUUUCAGGCGUCCGAGUUGUAAUCUAUAGAGGCGUUUUCCGCGCCGGACCGCGUCCAAGUCUCUUGGAAUAGAGUAUCAAAGAGGGUGACAAUCCCGUACUUGACGCGACAACCGGUGCUCUGUGAUACGUUCUCAAUGAGUCGAGUUGUUUGGGAAUGCAGCUCUAAAUGGGUGGUAAAUUCCAUCUAAGGCUAAAUAUUGGCGAGAGACCGAUAGCGAACAAGUACCGUGAGGGAAAGAUGAAAAGCACUUUGGAAAGAGAGUUAAACAGCACGUGAAAUUGUUAAAAGGGAAACGAUUGAAGUCAGUCGUGUGAAAGGUAUUCAGCCGUCUCUGGCGGUGUAUUUGCCUUUCACGGGUCAACAUCAGUUUGAUCCGGUAGAAAAAGGCAGGAGGAAGGUGGCACCCUCGGGUGUGUUAUAGCCUCUUGUCAUAUGUGCCGGACCAGACUGAGGAACGCAGCUUGCCGCAAGGCCGGGGUUCGCCCACGUACAAGCUUAGGAUGUUGACAUAAUGGCUUUAAACGACCCGUCUUGAACC
rnacentral:rRNA from 1 species